rnacentral:rRNA from 1 species
CGGUUGGGGGGCAGCUACACAUGCAGUCGAGCGGAUGAAGGGAGCUUGCUCCUGGAUUCAGCGGCGGACGGGUGAGUAAUGCCUAGGAAUCUGCCUGGUAGUGGGGGAUAACGUCCGGAAACGGGCGCUAAUACCGCAUACGUCCUGAGGGAGAAAGUGGGGGAUCUUCGGACCUCACGCUAUCAGAUGAGCCUAGGUCGGAUUAGCUAGUUGGUGGGGUAAAGGCCUACCAAGGCGACGAUCCGUAACUGGUCUGAGAGGAUGAUCAGUCACACUGGAACUGAGACACGGUCCAGACUCCUACGGGAGGCAGCAGUGGGGAAUAUUGGACAAUGGGCGAAAGCCUGAUCCAGCCAUGCCGCGUGUGUGAAGAAGGUCUUCGGAUUGUAAAGCACUUUAAGUUGGGAGGAAGGGCAGUAAGUUAAUACCUUGCUGUUUUGACGUUACCAACAGAAUAAGCACCGGCUAACUUCGUGCCAGCAGCCGCGGUAAUACGAAGGGUGCAAGCGUUAAUCGGAAUUACUGGGCGUAAAGCGCGCGUAGGUGGUUCAGCAAGUUGGAUGUGAAAUCCCCGGGCUCAACCUGGGAACUGCAUCCAAAACUACUGAGCUAGAGUACGGUAGAGGGUGGUGGAAUUUCCUGUGUAGCGGUGAAAUGCGUAGAUAUAGGAAGGAACACCAGUGGCGAAGGCGACCACCUGGACUGAUACUGACACUGAGGUGCGAAAGCGUGGGGAGCAAACAGGAUUAGAUACCCUGGUAGUCCACGCCGUACACGAUGUCGACUAGCCAUUGGGAUCCUUGAGAUCUUACUGGCGCAGCUAACGCGAUAAGUCGACCGCCUGGGGAGUACGGCCGCGAGGUUAAAACUCAAAUGAAUUGACUGGGGCGCGGCACAAGCCGGUGGAGCAUGUGGUUGUAAUUCUAAGUCAUCACGAAAGAGCCUUACCUGGCCUUUGACAUGCUGCAGGACUUUCCAGUAGAUGGAUUGGUGACCGUGU